GAUGAACGCUAGCUACAGGCUUAACACAUGCAAGUCGAGGGGCAGCAUGGUCUUAGCUUGCUAAGACUGAUGGCGACCGGCGCACGGGUGAGUAACACGUAUCCAACCUGCCGUCUACUCUUGGACAGCCUUCUGAAAGGAAGAUUAAUACAAGAUGGCAUCAUGAGUCCGCAUGUUCACAUGAUUAAAGGUAUUCCGGUAGACGAUGGGGAUGCGUUCCAUUAGAUAGUAGGCGGGUAACGGCCCACCUAGUCUUCGAUGGAUAGGGGUUCUGAGAGGAAGGUCCCCCACAUUGGAACUGAGACACGGUCCAAACUCCUACGGGAGGCAGCAGUGAGGAAUAUUGGUCAAUGGGCGAGAGCCUGAACCAGCCAAGUAGCGUGAAGGAUGACUGCCCUAUGGGUUGUAAACUUCUUUUAUAAAGGAUAAAGUCGGGUAUGCAUACCCGUUUGCAUGUACUUUAUGAAUAAGGAUCGGCUAACUCCGUAG
rnacentral:rRNA from 1 species